CUAAGCGUACACGGUGGAUGCCCUGGCAGUCAGAGGCGAUGAAGGGCGUACUAAUCUGCGAUAAGCGCCGGUAAGGUGAUAUGAACCGUUAUAACCGGCGAUACCCGAAUGGGGAAACCCAGUGUGAUUCGUCACACUAUCAUUAACUGAAUCCAUAGGUUAAUGAGGCGAACCGGGGGAACUGAAACAUCUAAGUACCCCGAGGAAAAGAAAUCAACCGAGAUUCCCCCAGUAGCGGCGAGCGAACGGGGAGGAGCCCAGAGCCUGAAUCAGCAUGUGUGUUAGUGGAAGCGUCUGGAAAGGCGCGCGAUACAGGGUGACAGCCCCGUACACAAAAGCGCAUGUGCUGUGAGCUCGAUGAGUAGGGCGGGACACGUGGUAUCCUGUCUGAAUAUGGGGGGACCAUCCUCCAAGGCUAAAUACUCCUGACUGACCGAUAGUGAACCAGUACCGUGAGGGAAAGGCGAAAAGAACCCCGGCGAGGGGAGUGAAAAAGAACCUGAAACCGUGU
rnacentral:rRNA from 1 species